UACGAAGGGGGCUAGCGUUGCUCGGAAUUACUGGGCGUAAAGGGCGCGUAGGCGGCACUGUUAGUCAGGCGUGAAAUUCCUGGGCUCAACCUGGGGACUGCGCUUGAUACGGCAGAGCUAGAGGAUGGAAGAGGCUCGCGGAAUUCCCAGUGUAGAGGUGAAAUUCGUAGAUAUUGGGAAGAACACCGGUGGCGAAGGCGGCUCUCUGGGACGGUACUGACGCUGAGGCGCGAAAGCGUGGGGAGCGAACAGG
rnacentral:rRNA from 1 species